AUUGAACGCUGGCGGCAGGCCUAACACAUGCAAGUCGAACGAGUGGCGGACGGGUGAGUAAUGUCUGGGAAACUGCCUGAUGGAGGGGGAUAACUACUGGAAACGGUAGCUAAUACCGCAUACCAUCAGAUGUGCCCAGAUGGGAUUAGCUUGGUGGUGGGGUAACGGCGAACCAAGGCGACGAUCCGUAGCUGGUGUGAGAGGAUGACCAGCAACACUGGAACUGAGACACGGUCCAGACUCCUACGUGAGGCAGCAGUGGGGAAUAUUGCACAAUGGGCGCAAGCCUGAUGCAGCCAUGCCGCGUGUAUGAAGAAGGCCUUCGGGUUGUAAAGUACUUUCAGCGGGGAGGCGUUACCCGCAGAAUAAGCACCGGCUAACUCCGUGCCAGCAGCCGCGGUAAUUC
rnacentral:rRNA from 1 species